ACAAAACUAUCUCCUGCCCCAUUCUCUACCUCGUUUUCUAGUUGCCCUCUUGGCUGUGACUCUGCAGAUGUCAUGAUGUGACACCAGUGAGGGGUACCGUGGUGACUCUUCCUUACGUGGACAGUGGCUAUAAGUAGGAGAGUGAAAUAAUAAUCUGCAUAUCUACAAGCUUCGCAGUUUACAAAGUAUUUUCCUUACAACAACCCUGUGAGCCACAGUGGGGUGUGAUGUGUGCACAAAUAAUGAUGACACAAGGGAGCAUGCAACUUGGGCAAAAGAGAGAUGCCAACAAGUGCUGGAAACCACUUUGAGGACUUAGAGACCACUUUCAGCUUCAGAUAUCAGGAAAGACUUCAGAGUAGAGGGAGAAGCCUUGAAGAAUUUCAUCCUUCUGAGAUGAAGAAGGAAUGGGUUCCAAGCAUAGGGAGUAACCUCCAUGAAUGCACAGAGUGUAUGUGCUGCCAAAGCAAGCAUGGUAAGCUUUUCAGGUGAGAUCACAGUCUUACAGAAUUACUGGAUGUUUGAACUUGGAGAAAACUUGGUGAUCAUCUGGUUGAAUCCUCUCACUUUACAGAAGAAACGGAGGCCCAGAGAAGGGAAAUGACUUGCUCAAAGUCACAUAUGUCAUAAAGAGUAGAGGCAGGAUUCAAACCCAGAUCCACUGACUCUGGACUCCACUGCUCUAUACACAACACCAGGAGAUUCUGACUUUCUUCCUGCCUGGUGACCAAGAACUAACCUCCAGUCUGAACCUUACCCUGCUGUACCACAUGGAGAGACAUACUAUUAUGUGAAAGUCAUGCUCCGGAAGCAGACAGAUUGGGAAGUCUGGAGAGGAGACCUACCACGUGCCUCUUCCCUUUCUGCCUCCAGUUCCAACAGACAUGUUCCAUCAGCAGCAGGUACUGUGCUCUUCAGCUAGGGGCACCCACCUUGGUUGACCCACCUCCAGCUUUUGUUAUUGAUGGGCUACUUAGAGCCAAGGUUGGCUAAGCAGCAGCUGAAUGACUCAUCCUCCUUCCCCCACCCCGACUCAAUUCAUUACAGUGAUGGCGUUGGUGCAACUGAAUCCCCCAAAUAUAUUUCACCAUGAACUUUACACAGCCAGUUUUGGAAGUGGGUAUAACCUGAUGGAAAUUGAAUCAACAUGUUUUGGCUCAUUCGUCCUGACAUAAACCCUCAAAUGCUGUUCGUCAGGGAUGAUUCAAUACUCUAGGCUUUCAAAAAGCUAUUGAGUGUUUCCUGCUUCCACGCCUCAAGCACGUUCUGCACUGGGCAAACAAGAGCAAUCUUGUUCCAAACAGACCCAUGAUGAGUCUAAGUGGGACCCACAGGUCCUUCUCUCAGCAAUUAAAGUUCACCUUGGUUCCCAUCAAAUUAGAACCGAACACAGAGAUUGUGAUAGGAUUGAGUACUGUGAGUGCUCUUAGAAAUCCUCCAGGUCAACCUCCUCGUUUAUUUUACAGGUGGGGGAACUGAGGGAAACAGAGAAGUUUACUGAAUCACAGAAUCAGAGACUUAGAGAGCAAGGAAGGAGCCCUAGAGUACAGUCCCUUAAUUUUAUGUAUGAGGAAACUGAGGCACAGAGCAAUGAGAUGACUUGUCCAGAGUUGCAGAGGUAGGACAUGAGCUCAUUUCCUCCUGAUUCCAGGUCUAGUGCUCUGUGCACUCUGUCCAACCCUCUCAUUUGACAAAUGAAGAAACUGAGGUCCCUUAGUUAUUAAGUGAAUUUCCCAGGGUCACACAGGUAAUAAGUGUCAGGGCCAAGAUCAGAACCCAGAACCUCCCUAUUUUAUUUUCUCUUCAUUCUGCCUUUACAACAAACUGAUGCAUCAGUUCAUACCAGAGGAAGGCAUUACCCUGUUUUUAGAGAGAAGAGGACACAGAAAGAGGUUUGCCUCAUUCAUUCAUUCAUUCAUUUGUUCACUCAUUCAGAGAAACAUUGUGAUUUCAUAGAAAAAGCACUGUAUUCAGAUUCAGAAGCUUCAAGUUCAAGGCCUGGCUUCUGUACUUUCUAGUUGUGUGUGAUUAUAAAUAAGGAAAUUAAUUUGUCUGAACUUUA